rnacentral:rRNA from 1 species
AACGUAGGGGACAAGCGUUAUCCGGAUUUACUGGGCGUAAAGCGCCCGUAGGCGGCCUGACAAGUUGGACGUGAAAGCUCCUGGCUUAACUGGGAGAGGCCGUUCAAAACUGUCAAGCUAGAGUCUGGAAGAGGAGAGCGGAAUUCCCGGUGUAGUGGUGGAAUGCGUAGAGAUCGGGAGGAACACCAGUGGCGAGAGCGGCGCACUGGACCUUUUCUGACGCUGAGGCGCGAAAGCCAGGGGAGCAAACGGG